CGCUUGCACGAGUCUCAGACUCCGUAGGCAUAAAGCUCAGUAACACGUGGCCAAACUACCCUACAGACCGCAAUAACCUCGGGAAACUGAGGCCAAUAGCGGAUAUAACUCUCAGGCUGGAGUGCCGAGAGUUAGAAAUGUUCCGGCGCUGUAGGAUGUGGCUGCGGCCGAUUAGGUAGAUGGUGGGGUAACGGCCCACCAUGCCGAUAAUCGGUACAGGUUGUGAGAGCAAGAGCCUGGAGACGGUAUCUGAGACAAGAUACCGGGCCCUACGGGGCGCAGCAGGCGCGAAACCUUUACACUGCACGACAGUGCGAUAGGGGGACUCCGAGUGUGAGGGCAUAUAGCCCUCGCUUUUCUGUACCGUAAGGUGGUACAGGAACAAGGACUGGGCAAGACCGGUGCCAGCCGCCGCGGUAAUACCGGCAGUCCAAGUGAUGGCCGAUAUUAUUGGGCCUAAAGCUCCCGUAGCUAAUCCGGUUGAUCCUACCAGA
rnacentral:rRNA from 1 species